CCUACGGGUGGCAGCAGUGGGGAAUAUUGGACAAUGGAGGGAACCCUGAACCAGCGACGCCGCGUGAGUGAAGAAGUAUUUCGGUAUGUAAAGCUCUAUCAGCAUGGAAGAAAGAAAUGACGGUACCUGACUAAGAAGCCCCGGCUAACUACGUGCCAGCAGCCGCGGUAAUACGUAGGGGGCAAGCGUUAUCCGGAUUUACUGGGUGUAAAGGGAGCGUAGGCGGCGAUGCAAGUCUGAAGUGAAAGGCGGGGGCCCAACCCCCAGAUUGCUUUGGAAACUGUAUGGCUGGAGUGCAGGAGAGGUAAGUGGAAUUCCUAGUGUAGCGGUGAAAUGCGUAGAUAUUAGGAGGAACACCAGUGGCGAAGGCGGCCUGCUGGACAUUAACUGACGCUGAGGCGCGAAAGCGUGGGGAGCAAACAGGAUUAGAUACUCGAGUAGUC
rnacentral:rRNA from 1 species